UACAGAGGUGGCAAGCGUUGUUCGGAAUUACUGGGCGUAAAGGGCGCGUAGGCGGCACUGUUAGUCAGGCGUGAAAUUCCUGGGCUCAACCUGGGGACUGCGCUUGAUACGGCAGAGCUUGAGGAUGGAAGAGGGUCGCGGAAUUCCCAGUGUAGAGGUGAAAUUCGUAGAUAUUGGGAAGAACACCGGUGGCGAAGGCGGCGACCUGGUCCAUUACUGGCGCUGAGGCGCGACAGCGUGGGGAGCAAACAGG
rnacentral:rRNA from 1 species